CAUCUGCCCAAGCGCGUGCCAUGCAAAAGUGCUUGGAGGAAAGUGCAAACAGCAGCUGAAAUGGAUAUGGAAAAAGCAAAUCGAAAACUGAUUUGGAGCGGAAGUUCGUUUGCACCUUUCUGCAGUUUCCUGUAUUUGCCGCCGUCGCCGCCAGAACAAUAAACAUCCACAAUCCGCAGCUACAGCCACUUCCAUUCCAUGCCCACAAUCGCAAUCAGAAUCGCCGAGUGUUCUAUAUAAAGUGCCAUGACUUGUCUUGGCCUUUGACGCCGCCUUUUGUACUAAGAGAGUUGAGUUCAUAUGGAAUGGAGGUGGAGAUGGAGAUGCAGAUGGAGAUGAAGGUGAAGUCACCGCCCGUUGGCUUUUCAAUGAGCUGCAAAUCAAAAGCUAUACGCGAUUUCCCACAGAGCACCGAUUAAGGAUAUGCGUGUGCACGCAAAGAAACUUUGAAUGUUUGGAUCUCAGUUUCGAUAAAUUAUGAUAUUUACAAUAAUAUCAUAAGUAGUUGGAUUGAACUCUACGUUGAGAUAAAACUUUGCAAGGACGAAGAAUCCCGGCAGCUGCUCCUUGGGAACUCUGUAUUUGAUUUGCGAUUCAAGGCAGGCGGAAAUGGAAUGACACGCGAGGCACUCUUACUUUGUUUGACGAUUGGCAAAAAUGCUGCCUCCAUAGCCCGACAAAAAACAGAAGGAACACAAGGACCAAGGACCCGCCAGACCCGCCAGUCGUAAGAGACUUCCACUUGAGCCGCACGCAUUGUUUGCCCUGCGAACCGAAGGGGCGUGCUGGAAAUCGGAUAUAGGAUUGCUCGUUCGGGACAAUCAAAUAGCGCAGCGGAGUUUUCCAACCCACUGAGCAGCCGCAAUCGGCGUAGAAUCAGCUGCCUAUAACCUCCAAGAAGACUCUAUGGCGAUGAGGUGCCAACCCGAGCCACGCGUGUCCCGUGUCCUAUGGCCAAUGGUCAAUGCCCAAUGGCCAAAAUUGGACACUGGCCGUCUCAUUAGCGCACCAAAGGUUGGAGGGUUAAUGAUGCGCACCCCGUGCUUCGGCUUCCGUCCCCCACACCAAAGCCUCCGGGCAAUUAUGCGACGCACUUGAGCUUGAAGGGCCUCGAAGGUGAGGAGUACACUUGAAAAAAUCGAAUAGAAACUAGUAUGGCACAUAACCGAUUCAUAGAUGAAUGAUGGUUACAAACGACUUUGAGAUACUUAAAAUAAUUAAACAAGCGCAGCUUCCACGUAGUGUGAAGUCCUGCAAGCGUAAUAUUUAAUUUUCAAAUAGGUAGUAAUCAAUUUAUGAUCAGAGCAACCAUUUCAAUGGCUAAGCACUUUUUUUAGUGUACGCGUAGGAGGACUGCAGUGGCCAUUCAUUGACCCCGUCUGUGUAGUAGCUCGGGUUUUAUGGUGUCGUCGUAAAUGUCAGGUGCGCACCCCAUUUAAAUUUAUUCAACGUAAUUAGUUGUCUUCCCCUAUAAGGUAUAAAGUGCCAGUAAGUCUGUAGUGUGUGCAUAGCGAUGUACAGAGUGUCAGUGCACGAAUCUAAUUUGAUUGCCAACCAAAAAACUACAAGUGUUAGGGGAUUACGAUGCAGUGCUUCCGCUCUGGCCCGAAAAAUUCGAUUUCCCUUUGGAAGAUACAUUUUUGUGGCGCGGAUUAAACGACACAUAAAACAUAUAAAUGGAACGCAACACACCUGCAGGUGGAAAAACAUGCAAAAAUGAUCGUUGCGAGAUAUGCGAACGGGACAUGACGCCGCAGGAUGGCAAACAGGCUGCCUUAGUCCGCUGGCGCUCCAUUUGGGCCACCAUUCUCGCCUCGCUCUCGCCUCGCCUCGGUUAUCGGUGAAUUCCGUGACGAUGGCAAAAAUAUUGCAACGCAGCCAAAAGGGGCAGAAAAGGGAUGGCAGUGGGCAGCGGGCAGUGGGAAAAAAGGGGUCUGGGUCGUGGUCCAUUUCGUGUGCACGUCGUUAUCCUUGCUCCGGAUGCACAACAAUCAAAAUAAACGGCUGCCAAAUUGACCAUUGACCAAACAUCGUCAGCAGGGAACGGCGAGGAGGUGCCGGCGACCAUUGCAGCAGGAUGUGUGGGCGGCACAGGACCUCCGGGGGCAAGGGUGUGAAGUGAGGAACUGGAUAGCGACAUCUUUGGCCCCGUCACGUCCACUUUCUGCUCCAUUCAGGAGCCAAGCAGCCAACUCGAAAUAAACAUGAAAUGCACUUGUUUUUGUGCAGCAGGAAAAGCGAUUAAAGGCUGUUAAAGCAAGGACAUGAAAACUAGAAGUAAAGCACUUAACUGGCUCACAGGUCAACUCCUUCUUCAAAAUGUAAUCAAAGUAAGGACAGAAAUCAAUUCAGCCAGAAAUAUGUGUAAUGGCCCAUAAUUGAUACCCCAUAAGCCAGAUGCCGUCCAGAGUUAGUAGCUGCCGCUACAUAAUUAACCAGAAAUGUGCGCUCAUCCCGCGUCCCCACUCGAUUUACGAUAUUAUUGCAGAAUAAUGAAAUCGCCAAGAGAUUCCAAUUCAAUCUACGCGCCGCGUAGGCCAUUUAUGGAUUGGCAUUGAUUUAAUACCGCGUCGCGAGAGAUCGCCUCCAGGUUCGGUUCCCCCGAGUCCGAGGCGCAAGGCAUUUUGCACCUACUUCAGCCCCAAGACGUCCAACUCGACGUGGAGCUCGCGGCUCCAAAGUCCGCAUCUGAUCUGAUUCCGCCGCCUAUCGCUCCCCGAGAUCAGCGGCGCAGACGCCACCUCGGCGGAGGCUGGAUCGGCGGGCAGGAGGGCAUCGCAGCACUCAGGGAAAAUGCACCUCAGAAGGAAAUGCAAGUAAGUGACUUCUGUAAUGAAUUCUGAUGCUGAAGCCGCAAUGGAAAUUAUUUAGCAAGCUCAGUUUCAUACAACUUUUUGUACUACUACUACUUGCUCAUCCAGCACGACUGAAAGGAUUUUUUCUGAAUGCACUGCUCCAAUGUUUAUUCAAUAAACCCGAUCUGAGAUGCAACAACCAGGAGGAGAAGCGGCAGAACAGCAGCUGGCUGGCAUUCCUGCGAGAAGCAACCGUUGAGCGGUUCUGCAGUUGGCCCAUUCAAGACAAGUCGCUGGAAUUUCUUGGUGCGUGCUCGACACAGGCACAGUCACAGUCACAGGUUGGGGCUCGGAAUCGGAUUCAGCUGGUCCAGCGUCUGCCAGCUGCGUCUCCUGAUUAUGAUAAUGGCCGUUGGACUGGACCGGAUCGCAUUGGACCGGGACAGGAACAGGGAGCAGAUCGCAACACCAGGCGGCUGGGCCACGACGGACCGCUCAGCUCAUCCCACGGGCCAGUUGUGCGCAAUUGCUUUCGUUUAUGAUCGAAUGAUCGAAUGCCUGGCAGCUCCGUUGACUUUCUGAUUAAUGCAAGAAUGCUCCUUGGCGGCGUUCCUGCUUUUUGCCGAUCCCACCACCACUGACUGCAAUUAAAAGUGGAUGCCCCUCGCUAAAAAGUGGAGGAAGGCAGGCCUGGACAUCAACGCCAAAGACAAGGUCAGGGCAAUGAAUUCCUAAAGGCAACAACAUGGAUAUGCCCAAUCUAAAUAUAUAUAGUAUUAAUUCGAUGAUAUAUAAUCUAUAUAAACAACUCUUUAACUAAAUACACCCAAAGAAAUGUCCAACUAAUCGGUAUGUGCUUUCAGUUAGACCCAACCAAGCUAAGCCCAGAUAAGAGCAUUCCCAGUUCGCCUUCGAACGUGGAGCCACAGAUUGAUUUGAUUCCUGACCGGCUGCCGUCGCCUGCUGUGCCGGCUGUGCCUGAUGUCCGAUGGCUGUAGGAAUGGGAAUGGGAACCCAAGUGGUGGCCAGAUGCAGGCCGAGCCGAGGAAGACAAACGACAGUCGCCAGCGCGCCUCGUGCCUCCAGUUGUCAUAACGUUCAACACAUCGCGCCCCUCGGUGGCGUCUUGCGUCUUCGCCGCAUCCACAUGCCCGACUUCUGUGCGCUGCCAUAAAAGGAUUUGUCACGUGCGAGCUUUUGUUGCAAAUGCAACAAUCAUCAGCCUGCAUUAUGCAUGGCGCAUUGCCAGGUUGGACAUUGCAUCGCGGCAUUCCUGGCCAGGUUCUCCUGCCUCCGCCAGGUCCUGGUCCAGGCUCAUAUGCUUGCCGACCAGCAGAUCAUUGCAAUUUAUAAUUAAGUGGAAAUAUGUUGUCUACGAUGGCAACAAGGAUCUCAGAUUGCUGGCGCAGAUAUGAAUGCCUCACAAAGUGGCAGACUGCAGAGGGAAACGGCAGGGAAACGGAUCCCUCAAUUGGAAUAACAAAUGCAUUAGCAGGCCAAACAAGGACCUAAUAAUGUCCUCGCCGAGGGAAUGUAAAUGGAAAUCCAUUGUGCAAAGAAUGGGCCGGGUCUCAUCCGCAAUUACCGUUAGGCACACACACAAACAAGGCGCAACACUCGCACACACACAGAGGCAAAUGAGGACACGUUGGCCUGGCUAAUUCAUGACUUUAAGGACACUUUGGCAAACAAUCGAACGGUCAAGGCGAAGGAAUAUUCACUGUGCAAUUGAUUAUGCAUGAGUGUUUUGUCGUGUGCGGUUUGUGUGCGUGCCAAUCAACUGGGUAGAAUCAAUCAAAAUGCAAUAGGAUUGCCCUGCCAAUCAAAGGCAAAGCCGAGAAGAGCGCUUCACCCGCUCGCAGAAGUCACCUCUGGUCCCCAGUUGCACAGCUAAAGUCCAAGGCAGUCCGGGCCUGGCCAGUAUUUUCGGACCACAUCAGGACAAAUAGCCAGCGCCCAGGUAACCAGGACAAACACUCAAAUGCCUGGCGAAGCGUGGCGAAGGAAGCAAACGAGACAUAGGCUUACAUACGGAAAAACUGUGGACUAACUUGGUGUACAAUCCAAUAUUCAUAGUACUUAAUAUCCUUAAAAUAACUUAAUUCGUAAUGUAUACUUCGUAGCAAGACUUAGGAAAACUGGUUAAAUUUAUGUAGUAGGACAGAAGUCAGAUUUGUUUGUAACUCCCUGUUGUUCGCUGUGUAACCGUAAGCGGCGCAUUUAUUUGCCAAGCGCACUUUUUGCAUUUGCCAAACAAGAGUGCGGCUCCUGCCAGGACGAAGCCUUGUCCUCCGUCUGUUUGAACACGAGCCUACACUUUGGUCCUCGUCCUGGCCGAGUACUUUGCACCUGUGUUUGCACUUAAAUCGAGUUUGCCGUUGAUGAGCAGCCCGGGACAAACAGACGAACGGCAUGGGUGCCUUGGGUACUUUAGGUACUUUGGUUGCUUGGCCAGUGACCAACGGCGAUUGUAAUUG